rnacentral:rRNA from 1 species
GAUGAACGCUGGCGGCGUGCCUAAUACAUGCAAGUCGAGCGAACAGAUGAUGAGCUUGCUCCUCUGACGUUAGCGGCGGACGGGUGAGUAACACGUGGAUAACCUACCUAUAAGACUGGUAUAACUUCGGGAAACCGGAGCUAAUACCGUAUAAUAUAUUGAACCGCAUGGUUCAAUAGUGAAAUACGGUUUUGCUGUCACUUAUAGAUGGAUCCGCGCCGCAUUAGGUAGUUGGUAAGGUAACGGCUUACCAAGGCAACGAUGCGUAGCCGACCUGAGAGGGUGAUAGGCCACACUGGAACUGAGACACGGACCAGACUACUACGGGAGGGAGCAGAAGGGAAUCGUCCGCAAUGGGCGAAAGCUUGACGGAGCAACGCCGAGUGAGUGAUGAAGGUCUUCGGAUCGGAAAAAUCUGUUAUUAGGGAAGAACAAAUGUGUAAGUAAAUAUGCACGUAGUGACGGUACCUAAUCAGAAAGCCACGGCUAACUACGUG